rnacentral:rRNA from 1 species
AUUGAACGCUGGCGGCAGGCCUAACACAUGCAAGUCGAGCGGUAGCACAGAGAGCUUGCUCUCGGGUGACGAGCGGCGGACGGGUGAGUAAUGUCUGGGAAACUGCCUGAUGGAGGGGGAUAACUACUGGAAACGGUAGCUAAUACCGCAUAAUGUCGCAAGACCAAAGUGGGGGACCUUCGGGCCUCAUGCCAUCAGACUUGCCCAGAUGGGAUUAGCUAGUUGGUGGGGUAACGGCGCACCUAGGCGACGAUCCCUAGCUGGUCUGAGAGGAUGACCAGCCACACUGGAACUGAGACACGGUCCAGACUCCUACGGGAGGCAGCAGUGGGGAAUAUUGCACAAUGGGCGCAAGCCUGAUGCAGCCAUGCCGCGUGUGUGAAGAAGGUCUUCGGGUUGUAAAGCACUUUCAGCGGGGAGGAAGGCGGUGAGGUUAAUAACCUCAUCGAUUGACGUUACCCGCAGAAGAAGCACCGGCUAACUCCGUGCCAGCCGCCGCAGUAA